rnacentral:misc_RNA from 1 species
GGAAACUACAAAUAUAAUAUAUACACAUAAACCUGUCUCAGUUGUCUUCUGCAUUUUCUAAUUAACAUUCGCCACUUCCUUGUUGAACUUUUAUCCAAGAGAAACUUCAUUUUGGGGUUGAAAUUGCAAAACAUAGAAUAUUUCCAGAUGUUUUGAACAUGUCACAGAGGUAUGGCUGCCCUUUUUAAGCAGGAAUUGGCACCCAGGUAGUGCUUGUCUAGAAUCUGGGUAGUAUUGGAUGGUCAGAGGUACUAGGAUUCUGUAUUAAGCUUUGGAAACUGAAAGAAAGUAGUGAGGUCUCUACAAAUGGAUCUAGGAAAACAGAUUUUCUUGCUGAUUAUUUGCCUUCAAGUUUUCCUUAUAGCAGCAGUUACAGAUCCUGAUGACUGUAAGUCACUUUAACUAUCAUUUUAACAUCCAAACUUAUUGGGGUCAACUCCAUUUUUGCAAUUAAUGGGUUCCAUCAAUUCAUCAUGGAGAAAGCCAAAAAUUUUCUUUCUUCAAAUGCCACACAGAAUAAUAGUUUGAGAUCAUGAAGGACCUUACAUGAAGUUUACACAAUAUGAGAUCAUGAAUAUGCAUGCACAAUCCAGAGUUAAUGGAAACCCUUGCAGCUACUAACCUCAAACUGCGUAUUGAUAAUAUCUUGUAUGAAUUUCAAAUCAAGCUCAGUGUAAAUAUACUUACAAAUUCAUCAAAUUCCUGAGCAACAUAUAUCUGCCUGCACCCAUUUGUUUUGUAUUGAGAAUUCAGUUUAAGUGUCUAACUUAUUGUCUGAUAUCUGAUGCAGUCACUGCUCUGUCUGCUGUCAAGAGUAACUGGCAGAACGCCCCACCCAAUUGGAUCGGCUUUGAUCCUUGUAGGGAAGGUUGGGAAGGAAUACAAUGCUCCAAUUCAAGUAUCACAUCCAUGUAACACACUUCUAACUUCUCCUUUUCCCAUUCAUUAGCCCGAUUUCCUCUUUAUCAAGUGCUUGUGGCUAAACUGAACACUUGCCCUUUUAAGAGUAUUAUCAGGCAUCGGUUUGACGGGAACACUGACAGCAGAUAUUGGAAAUUUACCCAUGCUACAAGAGCUGUAGGUUCUCCACUUCUCUUCGCUUUUCUCAUCCCCAUCGAUCAAUAGGUUCUUGACAAUCCACUUAACAGUUCUUUCUAGUUACACUUCUCCAUUCUUCUUUUUCCAUUACAAUAACAUCAUAGUAGACUACACUGCUCAGCAAGCUUGACACUGGUGAGAGGAGCAAAUAUGGACUCCUGUUACCAACUUACCUUGGAUUCUCACAAUCAAUCUGCAAUAGAAGAGAUUUAUGCAUUGCAAUAUUUCUAUGCGUGUGUAUGUACAUACCCAAAUAUGAAAUGCUAGAAACAUUAUGUACAAGUAAAUGCAAACAAGCGCAUACUAUUUAUCACAGCAUCCAUGAACCAGCUAUUAUGCCUUAGAAACCAUCAGGUGGAAGAACUCCUUGCAUUUUGCAAUGAACACCAGUAACACUUGAAUAACCCUACCAGAGCAUGUGAAGCAUUUCAAAGAUGAAUAUUUAUAUGAUGAUACAAUGCCCUGAUUAUCAGUUUCCACGUGUAGGGAUUUAUCUCAAAAUAUGGGUUUGACAGGAACUCUUCCACCAGCAAUUGGAAAUUUGAAGAACCUUGUAUACCUGUAAGAAAAUUGUUAUUCUUCCAACUUAUGGAGGUACAACCUCAUGCUUCACUGCCUAAUUUUCUUUUUCAUGCCAGAUCCCUGGUUGGUUGCAGUUUUUUUGGUCCAAUUCCCAACACAAUAGGAUCUCUAACACAGCUUAGAUCAUUAUCUUUAGCUUCUAACAAAUUCAAUGGCGAAAUACCACCUUCUAUUGGCAAUCUGUUGAACCUGUAUUCGCUGGAUGUAACUGACAAUAACCUCACAGGAACAAUUCCAGUCUCAAAUGAGACUUCACCUGGUUUGGAUUUGCUAGUAAAUACAGGACACUUGUAUGUAACCAAGUAUAUUCGGUCAUUUCUUAAUUUUAUAGUCCUCUUAUUUUCUCCAACUUAAUGAUCGGUGAUUUGAUCAUUAUUUGCAGUCAUCUUGGACAAAAUCAGCUCACAGGCACAAUUCCACCCAAAUUAUUCAGCUCAAGUAUGACAUUGAUACAUGUGCUUUUAGACAGCAAUCAACUAAGUGGCAGCAUCCCAUCCUCCCUAGAACUGGUACGAUCAUUGGAACUGAUACGCUUGGAUAGGAACUCAUUAAAUGGACCCGUUCUGCUGAACUUCACAGGCCUAACAAAUCUGUCCCAGCUAUACUUGUCUAACAAUAAACUGACUGGCCCCAUGCCCGACCUUAGUGGUAUGAACCUAGUCACAUAUGUGUAAGUAGCCCUGUUUCUGCAAGAUCAUCUGCAAACACUAAAUACCUAAAGUGCAUUAUUAUAAAAAGAUGAGUUUUGCAGCUCUUUUUAUCAUAUGCCGGAACACUUGUGUGACAAUACUAAGCAUUUUUAUUUAUUGACCCAUAUUUGUUUUGCAGGGACAUGAGCAAUAAUAGUUUUGA